UACGUAGGGUGCAAGCGUUGUCCGGAAUUAUUGGGCGUAAAGAGCUCGUAGGCGGUUUGUCGCGUCUGCUGUGAAAACUCAGGGCUUAACCCUGAGCCUGCAGUGGGUACGGGCAGACUAGAGUGUGGUAGGGGAGAUCGGAAUUCCUGGUGUAGCGGUGGAAUGCGCAGAUAUCAGGAGGAACACCGGUGGCGAAGGCGGGAUCUCUGGGCCAGUAACUGACGCUGAGACGAAAGCGUGGGUAGCAAACAGG
rnacentral:rRNA from 1 species